rnacentral:rRNA from 1 species
AUAUAUUAAAUAGCCGCAAUAGUGCUAAGGUAGCAUAAUCAUUUGUCUUUUAAUUAAAGACUAGAACAAAAGAUUUCACAUUCUAUUUAGUUUAUUUAAUUUUUCAAUAUAAAUUAUUUUAAAAGUUAAAAAACUUUUAUUUUACAAAAAGACGACAAGACCCUAUUGAACUUAACUUUAGUUAAACUGGGGUAGUAAAUUAAUUAUAAUUUUAAUAUAAAUAUUACAAACAAUAUCUUUUAAAAACAAUUAUUCAGUUACCAUAGGGAUAACAGCGCAAUUAAUUUCUAAAGUUCUUAUUUAAAUAUUAGAUUACGACCUCGAUGUUGAAUUAAAUACCUAAUUAAAGCAAAAUUUAAACAAAAGGAAGUCUGUUCGACUUUUAAAUUUUUACAUGAUUUGAGUUCAAACCGGUGUAAGCCAGGUUGGUUUAUAUCUUUUAUAUAAAUUAUUAUAGUACGAAAGGACCCACUAAUUUAAUUCAAUUAAUUAUUUGGCAGAAAAAUGCAUUAGAAUUAGAAUCUAAUUAAACUCAU